CUGACGUUACAGAUAAGCCAAUUGCUGGGAACCUUCUUACUGAACUUACAAACAAGAAGUUUGAUUGGUCAUGCUCUAUGAAUGAUCAUGUGACUAGCAUGGUGAACCUUGCAGCAAAGUUAGCAUCAAAGGAAGUGAAACUAGAUGACUCUCUUGUUGUGCAAUUCAUCAUGAACUCACUUCCGACUCAGUUUGGCCAAUUUUAAGUAAACUAUAACAGCCUUUAAGAUAAGUGGAAUCUUCAAGAGAUAAAGGCCAUGCUGAUUCAGGAGGAAGGGAGAUUAAAGAAAUCGAAAAAGCAUUCUGUUCACUUCACGGUUCACAAUGAAGCUAGCAGCAGUAAGGCUAAACCAAGGUAUAAGAACAAGAAAAAGGGCAAUGCAUCACUAAAGGUUAAUGAUGGCCAAAUCCGAAAGGAUAUAUGCUAUUUCUGCAAGAAGAGUGGUCACUAUAAGAAGGAUUGCCUGAAAAGAAAGAGUUGGUUCGAAAAGAAAGGGAUUCCUUUCGAUCCAACCCAUAAGAAGAAGUGAUCAAUUCUUGUAUAUGGGGAACAGAAUGAAGGCACGAAUUGAAGGAAUUGGGACGUACCGUUUGAUCCUUGAUACUGGCUAUCACUUGGAUCUAGAAAAGUGUCUUUAUGUUCCUGAGUGUGCUAGAAAUUUAGUUUUUGUUGCAAAGUUGGAUAAGUUAGGAUUUAAGUUCGAGAUUGGAAAUGGUGUGUUUUCAUUAUGUAAGAAUAAGUACUAUCAUGGAUCUGGUGCUUUAAUAGAAGACUUGUACCGUUUUAA